AAAGAAAUGUCCUGAGAAGGAAGAGUUCUUUACAACCUGGUUGAGGGAACAAAAAAAGGUAUUGAAGAGUGAAAGAUCAAGAGAGAAUGAUUCCUUGGAAGCGGCAGUUGACAAAGCAAAUUACAGAAUAUACUCAGUGAGAAUCAGAUGAAACACGGGAGAUAAAAGGCUCCGGACCAAGAGGUCCCAGAGAAGCAUUCAGAGGAGAAAGGCUGCAACCAGGAAGUCCACAUACUCACAGCUGCUUCCAGGCCCCGGUGCUCACCCAGUAACAAAGCCACUUCUGUCUGGAAAAACCACAGCAAGGCGAGGCACGAAGCAGAAAGCCUUUAAUUGGGGUGGCGAAUGAGCGGCCCUGUGAACUCCAAAUGCCUCCAGCAGGCUGGGGCACGCUUUUUCUUUCCCUUCCUCUUUGCCCACCCGUUGAUGGCCUCGCUCUCCAGGGCUUCUCAACAGGCAUUGUUGGUCUUUUGGCUUCUUCCCUGCUCUGGGUCCUGAGCCAUCUUUCUGCCUUUUUGCUAUUCCGCCCUGAGCAUGCUAUGGGCCAGUGUCCUGGGUUCUCAGCUCACCCUCUCUCCAUCAAGAUGUUUCUAUCCGGGUUCUACCUCCUCAAACCUUGCCAGGUGACUGGGCAUCUAAACUAAUAAUCCAGUAAUAAAAUCAGUGGUAACUAAAGGCUGAUAGCCAAAUAUGUUAACCCUUUUUAUUAACAUUUCCAGAUUAAUAGUGGCCUUUGGAGCUUCAACUCAGAGGAAUUAUUUAUCCGGGAAAGUUGGGCAGUCGGUGUCCAGAGAUUAGGGACUUUUGGGUUGGACAAUCCCUGGUUCCCAUGAAAUUGCUCCAUGAAAGAACCUUCUGAGCAUAAUUGAGCCAGCCUCAAUGUCCCCAGUUAAAGCUUUUUGGUAUUGAUCCAACCCCACGUUGAUCUCAUCUCCCUCCACACUGAAAGAAUCCAAUCUAUUCUGCACUAUUUUGUGCUUGUUUAUUGGUAAGUUUUCCUAAGACAGGUUGCAUGUAUAUCCCUUUGCUUCCUAAACUGGUCCAUGACCUCCUUGAGGGCUGGCAUCCUGUUGUCAAAUGAAAUGAUAGUUUCCUUUAUUAACUACACAUGUCCUCCUUGACGAGUUUCUGGGGCCUUGACUCACAAUCCUUUGGCUAAGAAACAUGCUCUAGUCAUAAGAUGAAGCGCUGAUGGGAAAGAAGGUAUCAGUCUCUGCCUGUAAGAAAGAGAGCUAGAGAGAGGACAGAGGCAGGGCAAAGAGGCCAAGGACUGAGGUGCUCAGCACUCAGCAAGAGCGGGUUUCUCCGGAGUGGACAACACACUGCGUUUCGGGGUGGUCAGGUACUCACAUGGAAUUUUGGGGACUCAGUCUCCUUGAAACAUUCUUCUUUGCUUAUACUGCCCAAGCUGGGCUCAUAAAAGGGGCAAGUUACUGGGAAAUGACCCAAAUCUGUAAUUCUCAAAAUCUCACGACAUACACAGAGCAGGGUUUUUAGGACACUGUCGACAAAUCCACCUAAAUAGUUUCUGACCUGUGUCUCAUGUUGUCUGGUGAUUUCAAAAUGCCAGAGAGGGUGAAGGGAGAGCUCAGGUAUAAAAAUGGUUAUUUAUCAAUGAGAACAUUUGGACACAGGAAGGGGAACAUCACACACCAGGGCCUGUCGUGGGGUGGGGGGAGGGAGAGGGAUAGCAUUAGGAGAUAUACCUAAUGUAAAUGACGAGUUAAUGGGUGCAGCACACCAACACGGCACAUGUAUACAUAUGUAACAAACCUGCAUGUUGUGAACAUGUACCCUAAAAAUUAAAGUAUAAAAAAAAAUGGUUAUUUACCUGUAAGGAAGGGCUUUCAGUGAAUUAGAAACAAAUAGUAAUGGCAGAUAUAGAAACUACAAUAGAGAGGA
rnacentral:lncRNA from 10 species